CAGCAGGAAUGUCCUGAACCAAAAGGA
rnacentral:piRNA from 1 species